UACAACUAUAAAUUUUUCAAUCUAUUAAUUACUCUGACUUGUGUUACAUUUACCGACAAUCUGCGGGAAACUGACAAGUGACCAAUGUUUGUACAAGUUCCGACCACUUGAAGAGUAUACAAAAGUGACGUAUAUUUGUCAAGUACACCAGUCGUGGGAAUCCGGCUUAAGACGUAACAUAGUUGGCAUCAGCUUCUCAACAUACAAUAGAUAAGAACCUCUCCAACCUACAAAGUGACUACCACGAUAUGCGUAUCAACAAACAGAUUGAAAUGAUAAUUCUAAGUAACCCAAACGGUUACUAAGAGAAACAAAGCAUAAAUAUCGGAAAUAUUUUAUUUUUGGCGAUUUAUCACUUUGAGUCCAGAAAAAAUUUCCUAAGACUUAAAGAAAUAGAAAUGGCUGAGGAAUCAAGACUUUAAAAUUCAAAAACUCUAAAUGAUUCAGGCAGUUUUGUUACAAGUUCAAACUAAAUUCAAAAUUAAACAAAAGUUUUGGUAUACUUUAUUGAUACGCCCCAAAGCAGACAAACGGUGUAUUUCUAUACUCCUGAAU